rnacentral:piRNA from 1 species
UCUAAAAUUGAAGUUAACACA